rnacentral:rRNA from 1 species
GGCGAAAAGAACCCCGGCGAGGGGAGUGAAAAAGAACCUGAAACCGUGUACGUACAAGCAGUGGGAGCACCCUUUGGGGUGUGACUGCGUACCUUUUGUAUAAUGGGUCAGCGACUUAUAUUCUGUAGCAAGGUUAACCGAAUAGGGGAGCCGGAGGGAAACCGAGUCUUAAUUGGGCGUUAAGUUGCAGGGUAUAGACCCGAAACCCGGUGAUCUAGCCAUGGGCAGGUUGAAGGUUGGGUAACACUAACUGGAGGACCGAACCGACUAAUGUUGAAAAAUUAGCGGAUGACCUGUGGCUGGGGGUGAAAGGCCAAUCAAACCGGGAGAUAGCUGGUUCUCCCCGAAAGCUAUUUAGGUAGCGCCUCGUGAAUUCAUCUCCGGGGGUAGAGCACUGUUUCGGCUAGGGGGCCAUCCCGGCUUACCAACCCGAUGCAAACUGCGAAUACCGGAGAAUGUUAUCACGGGAGACACACGGCGGGUGCUAACGUCCGUCGUGAAGAGGGAAACAACCCAGACCGCCAGCUAAGGUCCCAAAGUCAUGGUUAAGUGGGAAACGAUGUGGGAAGGCCCAGACAGCCAGGAUGUUGGCUUAGAAGCAGCCAUCAUUUAAAGAAAGCGUAAUAGCUCACUGGUCGAGUCGGCCUGCGCGGAAGAUGUAACGGGGCUAAACCAUG